UCCCCCUCUGCUUUUUUCGAGGCUCGCGGAAGCCGGGCUUGGCAAAGCGGGAUUCCUGGAGUUGGCAGUAGGGGAAAGUCCCGGUUCCACAGCAAGAGAUCCGGCGCGCGCGCGAGGAAACACCCUGUCGCCGCCACCCCUCCCCCUACUAUUCCUUAGGCCAGCUGGCGCGCGCGCAAAAUACACACACCACAGACACGCACACAGAAGACGCGGCACGUGGGAGGUUAUGAGGAGGCUUUUCUGUUGCCGCCGCCGGUGAGGCGAGUUUGGCGUUAAUGCUGCUGUUACGGCAACCAAUGCUGUCUUUCUCGCUGGGCUUUGCCAGGAACCCCGCGAGCAGGAGACUAGGAGAGAGCUGUUGAAGCGCAGGCAGGGGAGUGCGGAGCACCAGGGGAAGCCAGCAGCAGCAAAGCGAAGAGGAGGAGAGGAGGAGGACGACGACAUCUCGGUGACAAGGCGAGCGGGAAUUUCCCUUCCCUGCCUUUUCCCUCAGACUGCCGAUUAAGCAGCAGCAGCAGCAGUUCCAUGUGUGCUCUCCAAAGCAGGUCUUCGUCGCCCAGAGAGGCAGCAGGAUCCGGCUGAGUCCUAGAUGCGCUGCUGAGUGGAGGAAGGGUGCGGCGAGCUCCGUGCAUGCAGCACCCGGCUGGGCUCGCACACCUGCAAGGAUGCUCCGUCCUGAGUGCUCCUGAGGACUUAUCUUGGGCGCUGACAAGUGAGGGGAAGAGGAGCCGUGGCCUGGCUUGGCCGCCCCCCUUCAUCAGCUGCCUGGCGGCGCUGCUGGCUCCUUAGCAGGAGGCAUCAUGAUUUCCUAACCGGCUUGCUCGAGUCUCGCUCGCUUUCUCGUUCUGCCUCUCCUCCCCACGCCCCCCCCCAUGGAAUUACUCGCCACCUCCGGCUGGAGUUGGAGCUGCUGAACUCGUGUGGCUCGGCGAGCGGAGAGUGCCAGCCAAGAAGUCGACUUUUUGCUCCAUCCUGGAUGGUUUGGAGGGGAACUGCUUGAGCUGGCAGAGCCUCGAACACCAGGGGUGGGGCCGGAAGUAAAUGUCUGAAGGGGACUAAAGAAUGCUGUGAAUGAUGACCACAAUAAAUUAACAAGAACUGCUGAUUGAAAGUCUGAGAUAACAGUGAUCCCUUCAAGAGGCCCUGUUCCACUUCCAGUUCCAUGCCGACAACCAGGGAAGCCCACUGCAUGACCAGAAGCAGCAACCAGAGCACUUCUAGAUGCAGUCCUGAUCCUGUUCA